GAGUUUGAUCCUGGCUCAGGAUAAACGCUGGCGGCGCACAUAAGACAUGCAAGUCGAACGGACUUAACUCAUUCUUUUAGUUUGAGAGCGGUUAGUGGCGGACUGGUGAGUAACACGUAAGCAACCUGCCUAUUAGAGGGGAAUAACAGUGAGAAAUCAUUGCUAAUACCGCAUAUGCUAACAGUAUCGCAUGAUACAGUUAGGAAAGGAGCAAUCCGCUAAUAGAUGGGCUUGCGUCUGAUUAGUUAGUUGGUGGGGUAACGGCCUACCAAGACUACGAUCAGUAGCCGGACUGAGAGGUUGAACGGCCACAUUGGGACUGAGAUACGGCCCAGACUCCUACGGGAGGCAGCAGUCGGGAAUAUUGCGCAAUGGAGGAAACUCUGACGCAGUGACGCCGCGUAUAGGAAGAAGGUUUUCGGAUUGUAAACUAUUGUCGUUAGGGAAGAUAAAAGACUGUACCUAAGGAGGAAGCCCCGGCUAACUAUGUGCCAGCAGCCGCGGUAAUACAUAGGGGGCAAGCGUUAUCCGGAAUUAUUGGGUGUAAAGGGUGCGUAGACGGAGAAACAAGUUGGUUGUGAAAUCCCUCGGCUCAACUGAGGAACUGCAACCAAAACUAUUUCCCUUGAGUGUCGGAGAGGAAAGUGGAAUUCCUAGUGUAGCGGUGAAA
rnacentral:rRNA from 1 species